UAUGGGGCGGGUUGGUUGUAGAAACCUGCAACGUGCACGACAAAAUUAUCCGUCACGCGCUCCCUCGUGCUGGGCGGAGGGCUUAAGAAAUUGCGAAAAACUUUCAUGUCUGUGAAUCUGUGACGGUGGCGCGAGUAACUGCCAGCAGAAGCUUGUGCCAGUUGCGGAUCUUUGUGACGACGGAAUUCAACCGCUACAGGACCGGGAGCAGCAAGAACAAAUAGCUAGCUUGUGUAACUGAAUUUGAUGGACUGAUCGAGUGAGUGAGACUGCAAAGGGCCGCUCAGACCACUACUGCUGGCUGAUUGAAAUGAUUCGUUCUAAUAAUAUAAUAAGAAGAGUAUGCCAAG
rnacentral:lncRNA from 1 species